rnacentral:misc_RNA from 1 species
AGCAGCCGCGGUAAUUCCAGCUCCAAUAGCGUAUAUUAAAGUUGUUGCAGUUAAAAGCUCGUAGUUGAAUUUCGGGAUCAAUAUGUUGGUCGUGCCUUGGUACGUACUGGCAUUAUCGAUUCCUACCUUCUGAAGAACCUCGAUGUCAUUAAUUUGGUGUCUUGGGGAAUCAGGACUGUUACUUUGAAAAAUUAGAGUGUUUAAAGCAGGCUCGCGCUUGAAUACAUUAGCAUGGAAUAAUGAAAUAGGACGUUUGAUUCUAUUUUGUUGGUUUCUAGGAUCGACGUAAUGAUUAAUAGGGAUAGUUGGGGGCAUUAGUAUUCAAUUGUCAGAGGUGAAAUUCUUGGAUUUAUUGAAGACUAACUACUGCGAAAGCAUUUGCCAAGGAUGUUUUCAUUAAUCAAGAACGAAAGUUAGGGGAUCGAAGACGAUCAGAUACCGUCGUAGUCUUAACCAUAAACUAUGCCGGCUAGGGAUCGGAUGAUGUUAAUUUUUUAAUGACUCAUUCGGCGUCCG